GGGUUAAGAUUAGGGUAAGGGUUAGGGUAAGCCUUCGGGUAAGGUUUAGGUUUAGUGUUAGGUUUAGGGUUUGGGUUAGCGUUAGGGAACGGGUACAGUUUAGGUUACAGGUUAGGGAACGACAACUGUUUAGGGUUAGCGUACGUGUUAGCAUACAGGUUAGUGUACAGGUUAGGUUUAGGUUACA